UACGUAGGGGGCAAGCGUUGUCCGGAAUCAUUGGGCGUAAAGAGCGUGUAGGCGGUUCGAUAAGUCUGCUGUGAAAGUCCAGGGCUCAACCCUGGAAGGGCGGUGGAAACUGUCGGGCUAGAGUCCGGAAGAGGCGAGUGGAAUUCCCGGUGUAGCGGUGAAAUGCGCAGAUAUCGGGAGGAACACCAAUGGCGAAGGCAGCUCGCUGGGACGGUACUGACGCUGAGACGCGAAAGCGUGGGGAGCAAACAGG
rnacentral:rRNA from 1 species